rnacentral:rRNA from 1 species
GUCCACGCUGUAAACGAUGAUUACUAGCUGCUGGGAGUUUUAAACUAUCAGUAGCGCAGCUAACGCGAUAAGUAAUCCGCCUGGGGAGUACGGCCGCAAGGUUAAAACUCAAAGGAAUUGACGGGGGCCCGCACAAGCGGUGGAGCAUGUGGUUUAAUUCGAUGCAACGCGAAGAACCUUACCUACCCUUGACAUACAGAGGAUCUUGCAGAGAUGUGAGAGUGCCGAAAGGAGCUCUGAUACAGGUGCUGCAUGGCUGUCGU